rnacentral:misc_RNA from 1 species
GAAAUGCGAUAAGUAAUGUGAAUUGCAGAAUUCCGUGAAUCAUCGAAUCUUUGAACGCACAUUGCGCCCUCUGGUAUUCCGGGGGGCAUGCCUGUCCGAGCGUCAUUGCGAACCCCUCAAGCACGGCUUGUGUGAUGGGCCCUCCCGCGUCUUGGUCGUCAAGACGGGCCCGAAAUGCAGUGGCGGCUUCGCGGUUCCGAUCAGCCAGAGCGUAUGGGGACUCUCUCUCUUGUCACACGCCCGCGGCGCGGACCGACGCCUGUCGACCUUUAUUCAUCUUCUCUCGGUUGACCUCGGAUCAGGUAGGGAUACCCGCUGAACUUAAGC